rnacentral:rRNA from 1 species
UACAGAGGUCCCAAGCGUUGUUCGGAUUCAUUGGGCGUAAAGGGUGCGUAGGCGGCGAGGUAAGUCGGGUGUGAAAUCUCGGAGCUUAACUCCGAAACUGCAUUCGAUACUGCCGUGCUUGAGGACUGGAGAGGAGACUGGAAUUUACGGUGUAGCAGUGAAAUGCGUAGAGAUCGUAAGGAAGACCAGUGGCGAAGGCGGGUCUCUGGACAGUUCCUGACACUGAGGCACGAAGGCCAGGGGAGCAAACGGG